UACAGAGGGUGCGAGCGUUAAUCGGAAUUACUGGGCGUAAAGCGCACGUAGGCGGGUUGUUAAGUCAGGGGUGAAAUCCUGGAGCUCAACUCCAGAACUGCCUUUGAUACUGGCAACCUAGAGACUGGAAGAGGUUAGUGGAAUUCCCAGUGUAGAGGUGAAAUUCGUAGAUAUUGGGAAGAACACCAGUGGCGAAGGCGGCUAACUGGUCCAGCACUGACGCUGAGGUGCGAAAGCGUGGGGAGCAAACAGG
rnacentral:rRNA from 1 species